rnacentral:rRNA from 1 species
UACGGAGGAUGCGAGCGUUAUCCGGAUUUAUUGGGUUUAAAGGGUGCGUAGGCGGUAUGGUAAGUCAGCGGUAAAAGCCCGGGGCUCAACCCCGGCCCGCCGUUGAAACUGGCAGUCUCGAGUUGGAGAGAAGUAUGCGGAAUGCGCGGUGUAGCGGUGAAAUGCUUAGAUAUAACUUAGAACUCCGAUAGCGAAGGCAGCUUACCAGACUGCGACUGACGCUGAAGCACGAGAGCGUGGGUAGCGAACAGG